rnacentral:rRNA from 1 species
AUGGUUCCUCACUUAAAGAGAUCUUAGGGGGUUACUGCCUAAGAUCUGCCCGAGGAUGGGGCUACGGCCCAUCAUGGUAGUUGGCGGGGUAAUGGCCCGCCAAGCCUACGACGGGUAGGGGCCCUGGGAGGGGGAGCCCCCAGAUGGACCCUGAGACAAGGGUCCAGGCCCUACGGGGCGCACCAGGCGCGAAACCUCUGCAAUGCGGGAAACCGUGACAGGGUUACCCCAAGUGCUCCCGUUAAGGGAGCUUUUCCUCGCUGUAAGGGGGCGAGGGAAUAAGCGGGGGGCAAGACUGGUGUCAGCCGCCGCGGUAAUACCAGCCCCGCGAGUGGUCAGGACGAUUACUGGGCCUAAAGCGCCCGUAGCCGGUCUAGCAAGUCCUCUCUGAAAGCUCCGGGCCUAACCCGGAGAGCGGAGAGGAUACUGCUAGGCUAGGGGGCGGGAAAGGCCGGGGGUACUCCUAGGGUAGGGGCGAAAUCCGAUAAUCCUAGGAGGACCACCAGUGGCGAAGGCGCCCGGCUGGAACGCGCCCGACGGUGAGGGGCGAAAGCUGGGGGAGCGAACCGGAUUAGAUACCCGGGUAGUCCCAGCUGUAAACGAUGCAGGCUAGGUGUUAGAUGGGCGUUAGUGCCCAUCUAGUGCCGCAGGGAAGCCGUUAAGCCUGCCGCCUGGGGAGUACGGCCACAAGGCUGAAACUUAAAGGAAUUGGCGGGGGGGCACACAAGGGGUGGAGCCUGCGGCUCAAUUU